UCGAGAAUCUUCGGCAAUGGACGCAAGUCUGACCGAGCGACGCCGCGUGCGGGAUGAAUGCCUUCGGGUUGUAAACCGCUGUCAGAGGGGUGGAAAUUUUGACCUAACCUCAGAGGAAGGCCGGGCUAAGUUCGUGCCAGCAGCCGCGGUAAGACGAACCGGCCAAACGUUAUUCGGAAUCACUGGGCUUAAAGGGUGCGUAGGCGGUCUGGUAGGUGGGGUGUGAAAUCCCUCGGCUCAACCGAGGAACUGCGCUCCAAACCACCCGACUAGAGGGAGAUAGAGGUGAGCGGAACUGAUGGUGGAGCGGUGAAAUGCGUUGAUAUCAUCAGGAACACCAGUGGCGAAGGCGGCUCACUGGGUCUCUUCUGACGCUGAGGCACGAAAGCUAGGGGAGCGAACGGGAUUAGAUACCCCCGUAGUCC
rnacentral:rRNA from 1 species